AUUGAACGCUGGCGGCAUGCCUAACACAUGCAAGUCGAACGGCGGCACGGGUGCUGGUAGCUGGUGUCGAGGGGCGAACGUGUGAGUAAUACAUCGGAACAUGUCCUGAAUUUGGGGUUAGCCCGGCGAAAUCGGGAUUAAUACCGCUAACGAUCUACGCCUCAAAGUGGGGGACCUUCGGGCUUCUCGCUUUUGGGUGGGCCUAUGGCUGAUUAGCUUGUUGGUGGGGUAAAGGCCUACCAAGGCGACGAUGAGUAGCCGGGCUGAGAGGACGACCAGCGACUGUGGGGGUGAGACACGACACAGGCACCUACGGGAGGCAGAAGCGGGGAAGUUAGGAAAAAGGGGGAAAGACUGAACAAUGAACGCAGCGCGUGUGAAGCAGCCCUGCGGGUUGUAAAGCAGUCUUGUGCGGAAAGAACUCCUUCGCCAUAAAACGGGCGGGGGAUGCCGGAACCGCAAGAAUAAGCACGGGCUAAUUACGU
rnacentral:rRNA from 1 species